GAGUUUGAUCAUGGCUCAGAUUGAACGCUGGCGGCAUGCUUUACACAUGCAAGUCGAACGGUAACAGGGAGCUUGCUCCGCUGACGAGUGGCGAACGGGUGAGUAAUGCGUCGGAACGUGCCGAGUAGUGGGGGAUAACGCAUCGAAAGGUGUGCUAAUACCGCAUACGAACUGAGGUUGAAAGUGGGGGACCUUCGGGCCUCACGCUAUUCGAGCGGCCGACGUCUGAUUAGCUAGUAGGUGAGGUAAAGGCUCACCUAGGCGACGAUCAGUAGCGGGUCUGAGAGGAUGAUCCGCCACACUGGGACUGAGACACGGCCCAGACUCCUACGGGAGGCAGCAGUGGGGAAUUUUGGACAAUGGGCGCAAGCCUGAUCCAGCCAUGCCG
rnacentral:rRNA from 1 species